CCUACGGGUGGCAGCAGUGGGGAAUAUUGGGCAAUGGACGCAAGUCUGACCCAGCAACGCCGCGUGAGGGAAGACGGCUUUCGGGUUGUAAACUUCUUUUAAGGGGGGAGCGCAGACGACGGUACCUCUUGAAUGAGCCACUGCUAGCUACGUGCCAGCAGCCGCGGUAAUACGUAGGUGGCACGCGUUGUCCGGAUUUACUGGGUGUAAAGGGCGUGCUGCCGGAGUGACAAGUCAGAUGUGAAAUCCACGGGCGCAAACCGGGAACUGCAUUUGAAACUGUUUCCCUUGAGUGUCGGAGAGGUAAUCGGAAUGCCUUGUGUAGCGGUGAAAUGCGUAGAUAUAAGGCAGAACACCAGUGGCGAAGGCGGAUUACUGGACGAUAACUGACGGGGAGGCGCGAAAGCGUGGGGAGCAAACAGGAUUAGAUACCCUUGUAGUC
rnacentral:rRNA from 1 species